rnacentral:rRNA from 1 species
GGUGAAUGCUGGCGGCGUGGAUAAGUCAUGCAAGUCAAGGGGGCCCGCAAGGGCAACCGGCAAACGAGGUAGUAACACGUAGGUAGACCCCCCAGAGUCGGGCAUAGCCAGCCGAAAGGUUGGGUAAUUCCCGAUAGUCCCGAAAGGGUAGAGGUUUUUCGCUCUGGGAGUUGCCUGCGUAGUAUCAGCUAGUUGGUAGGGUAAUGGCCUACCAAGGCUACGACGCUUAGGGGAGCUGAGAGGCUGACCCCCACCGAUGGAACUGCGACACGGUCCAUACUCCUACGGGAGGCUGCAGACGAGAAUAUUCCGCAAUGGGCGAAAGCCUGACGGAGCGACGCCGCGUGAUUGAUGAAGUGCUUCGGUACGUAAAGAUCUUUUAUCGGGGACGAAGUUUAUUGACGGUACCCGAUGAAUAAGGGGCUCCUAACUCUGUGCCAGCAG